UACGAAGGGGGCUAGCGUUGCUCGGAAUCACUGGGCGUAAAGGGUGCGUAGGCGGGUCUUUAAGUCCGGGGUGAAAUCCUGGAGCUCAACUCCAGAACUGCCUUUGAUACUGAGGAUCUUGAGUACGGGAGAGGUGAGUGGAACUGCGAGUGUAGAGGUGAAAUUCGUAGAUAUUCGCAAGAACACCAGUGGCGAAGGCGACUACCUGGCCUGUUCUUGACGCUGAGGCGCGAAAGCUAGGGGAGCAAACGGG
rnacentral:rRNA from 1 species